rnacentral:tRNA from 1 species
UCCCUGGUAGCUCAGUGGUAAAGAAUCCGCCUGCAAUGCAGGAGACCUGGGUUCAAUUCCUGGGUUGGGAA